rnacentral:rRNA from 1 species
GUCGGGAAUAUUGCGCAAUGGAGGAAACUCUGACGCAGUGACGCCGCGUAUAGGAAGAAGGUUUUCGGAUUGUAAACUAUUGUCGUUAGGGAAGAAGAAAGACAGUACCUAAGGAGGAAGCCCCGGCUAACUAUGUGCCAGCAGCCGCGGUAAUACAUAGGGGGCAAGCGUUAUCCGGAAUUAUUGGGUGUAAAGGGUGCGUAGACGGGUGUUUAAGUUGGUUGUGAAAUCCCUCGGCUCAACUGAGGAACUGCAACCAAAACUGGAUAUCUUGAGUGUCGGAGAGGAAAGUGGAAUUCCUAGUGUAGCGGUGAAAUGCGUAGAUAUUAGGAGGAACACCAGUGGCGAAGGCGACUUUCUGGACGAUAACUGACGUUGAGGCACGAAAGUGUGGGGAGCAAACAGGAUUAGAAACCCUAGUAGUCC